rnacentral:rRNA from 1 species
AUUGAACGCUGGCGGCAGGCCUAACACAUGCAAGUCGAGCGGAUGAAGGGAGCUUGCUCCUGGAUUCAGCGGCGGACGGGUGAGUAAUGCCUAGGAAUCUGCCUGGUAGUGGGGGAUAACGUCCGGAAACGGGCGCUAAUACCGCAUACGUCCUGAGGGAGAAAGUGGGGGAUCUUCGGACCUCACGCUAUCAGAUGAGCCUAGGUCGGAUUAGCUAGUUGGUGGGGUAAAGGCCUACCAAGGCGACGAUCCGUGACUGGUCUGAGAGGAUGAUCAGUCACACUGGAACUGAGACACGGUCCAGACUCCUACGGGAGGCAGCAGUGGGGAAUAUUGGACAAUGGGCGAAAGCCUGAUCCAGCCAUGCCGCGUGUGUGAAGAAGGCCUUCGGAUUGUAAAGCACUUUAAGUUGGGAGGAAGGGCAGUAAGUUAAUACCUUGCUGUUUUGACGUUACCAACAGAAUAAGCACCGGCUAACUUCGUG